rnacentral:tRNA from 7 species
AUCCGUCGACUUUAGAAAUCGUGAGGGUUCAAGUCCCUCUAUCCCCAA